rnacentral:lncRNA from 1 species
CAGAAGUCUGACUCAUCCUGAAUUGUGCAUAAUUUGACUUAGGGUCCUUGUGAAAAACAAACGACACUCCAAGCCACUCAAAGCACAAACACCAGAUACGCCAAACAAACCUGCAAACAAAGAACAAGUGACAUGACAACUCCUCCUCCUCCCCGCACAAACAACACAAGGAAUUUUCCACCACCACUCCACGCCUUACCAAAUUAACCCUUGAGGCAAUCCUAUUCUCCACCACCC